CCCACUCACCCACCCACUUACACCCCCGCACUUUCACGCACGCCACACAUAGAACCAGCGUCGUCACCACUAGUACGCGCCAACGUCGACCGUAUCGCCCGUACUACUACCACUACUACUGCCACCACUUCCACCAAUCCAGUGACCAACGCUAAUUGCAGUCAGCUCAUCGUUUUCCGUAAGCAUAGGAUAGUCGGUGUUGAAAGAAAGGAGCACAGGCGACCCGAAAAAGCAGGACGAACCGAAGGAGCGGAGAAAGAUAAAGAUAAAGGAACGGAAAGGUCGGAGAAACAGGGACGGAGAUAGAAGGAAGAAUAUCGCAGGAGGAAAAAGAGGAAAAGGAGGAAAAGGGGGCCAAUUACGCGAGGCUAGAGAAUAGAAGACGGAAGAGAGAAGAGAGUAGUCGAGCUUGGAAGCAUAGCUUAGCGUGGACCGACACGGCAUAUCCAUAGACAUAUACACUGUGUCUAUGGGCAUAUCGACGAGAUCCGAGAGCGGCCGAGCACGACCGAGCCGGGCCGACUCGGACCCUGCGCGCUCAACCCAAACCGGAGGAAGCAUAGUUGCAUUUAAACUGCCAUCCCACUGAGGUCUCUCUUCCGUAGUGUUGGAGUAGUCUGCGCUGGCUGGGCCAGCCGCACUCGACGAGUACGUGUCGCGUACCUUGCACCGUUCACCCGCACUCUCUUGCACCAUAUAACCGGACACUCUCUCGCGUGUGACACUUGCUUCUGUCUGUCGCGCUCACCCUCUCGUACGCUUCUCGUCUCGCCUCGUCUCGCCUCGCCUCCUCUCCGCUUUGUUUCGGGGAAAACGUGCGUCGGCUGGAUUCUCAACUUGCAAGAAAGAAAAAGGGUUUUCGUACGAGGAACGGACCCGAGCGUUUUCACGCCGAGUUCCUUCUCUAUCAAGACUCUUGUGCAUCCUGCUGAUUCAAGAACGAAAAACUUGGGAAUCGAGAAAGGAGAAGAAAGAAAAAAGGAAAGGGGGACGGCGGUAUCGGUCGUCGAGUAUCGAGAUCGAAAUGUUUCCGGAAUAAUAGCGUUCAGUCGCAAUUUUCACCUAUUCGACUAGAUGGCCAGAAUCUCGUGGAAAUCCAAUCGAUCCUACGGUGUCUGGAAUAAUCUUCUUUGUCCUGUUCGUGUCCGAGGAAACUCCAAGUUGAUUCAGUUGAGUGGACUAGCCGGGACUGUCAAAGUUGCGCCUCGGAGUCAGCUGCUUCCGUUACGUCGAGCCGCAGACCCGUGUCUAUAGGAUGUCCUCGAAACGCGCAUCGAGGCUUCGUUUAUCUUUCGAGUGAUUUCGACCGAUCUUCGAUGAAAAAGAAAGAGACGAUGUACUUCUCGGGCAUCGAACAAAUAAAUACGAAUGGGCAGAUUUCGGAAAACGAUCGGGAAAGUAGACGUUGCCGUUUCACAUUUUCGUGUUCCCUUUGUCCAACUCGGUAGUAACUUGUUAGCCGGGCGCCUUGCAAUUUUAAACUCCGCCGCUCGUCGAAGAGAGAGCCUGCUCGUUUUUCCUCCGUGAAUCCCGACAGCUUUUCGCGUUCCCACCCGAUCAGCGAGAAUAACUUGUUGACUUUUCUCUCGUGAGAGCAAUCGCGACUUUUUCACCUGUAUCGCACCAGUCGAAUUAAAAUUUCUACAACGAUCUUUAUUCGCUAUAAUAUUUUCCAAGAACUCGCGGUGAAUCUGUUUCGAUGCAAGCCAUCGUGUUCUUUAUUUUCGCAAAGAUUCUUCGAUUUGCUCGCAACGCUGUAUGCAUGUUACGCGGGGCCACGUCGAUCAAUAAAACACGGCUAUUUCGAUCCGUGAAUUACGUAAUUUCCCGAAUUUCCCUAGCCGAUCCUCGCUGCUCUUUUUUGUCAUUGUGCUAACGAAUUUUUCAUAUUUCUAACGAACAGAAAGCAAACGAGACGCAAAUAACAUCGGAAUUUACCGUAGCCGCCUUCACCGCUGUGCUAUUCUUCUCGUUCAAUUUCAUCACCGGUUUCUUUCUCGCAAUUUUCGCAAGAGAACGCACAGAGAACCCAUUAUGCCACUACGGUAGUCGUCGACUUGAAAUUAUCGAUUCCAUCGAAAACGUUUCUUUCGCUUGUACUUUUCGCUCGCCACCUCGCUCACCAAGAACGCUUUAUCAGUUAAUUAGCCGAGUUAAUCAAUGUCGUUUCAAAAACAGAGGGGCAACGAAUUUUUCGGGAAUCUGUUUCGAGAUUUAUCGUGAUUUUCGAUGUUCUUGUGAUUUUUCGUCGAACGCGUUCGACCGAUAUUUUCCAACGCUCCGACGUUGGUAAUUGGACGUGGAAAUCACGUAUGACGUAAGAUUUCAUCGAGUAUUCAUCGGUGUGGAACGAACAGGAAGAUUCGAGGCGAGAAUUUCUUACGAGCUUGGUUUUACAAUGCAUUUUUCUCGUUCUCCACGACGAUUGGUCCAUACGGAAGGUAUCGAAACGCUGUUGCUACGUGCUCCGAUGGGGGCCACCUUUAAAGCCGAUAUCGCGGAACGAAGUACAUACUUACUUGCUAUGACCAGGCGAAAUGCUUAAAAGUCCGAGACCGAUGAUCUCGAUAAUCUUCUACGAUUUCCGUGCAAGCUCCAACAUUCUCGAUCGAAAGAGACUCUUCGUUCCACUUUUGACCUUUCCCAGCCCAUCGAUCGGUCUCUGCGAUUUCAAGACCUAACCUGCUCUUUCCUGCAAACCAUUCUUCGCUUCUCCAUUCGUAUUUUAAUGAAUUCUAAUCGUGUUUCGCCGAAAUGACGACCUUCGUCGAGAAGACGAUUUCCUUCGACCGAUGAAACGGACGGAAACGUUAAUCGCCAACAGAUUGGAAAAUAUUCGAAAAUCGAGAGAGCUGACGCGACGACCAUAGCCCCCAAAGUGUCGUGUAUCGUGCGAGGCUCGUUUCAGAAUGAUUCCUUUGCUUCCGUUCCAUUCGCACUCGUAAGCGCGAAUUAUCGGCACGAGGCCAAACUCGCGCCCCUUUUUCGCGCCUCUGACAUUUAGUACGACGCUGUGCCAGCUUUGCCAGUCUCUUUACGUUUCUCGAAAUCGUCGCCUCUCGAAAUUAAUACAUCGUCGGAAAUCGGUUCGAUAUCGAUGUCGAAGAGAACAUAAACGAAUAAGGAACCGCGCGGAUUAAAGCGAAUAGUUUCAAAGAAAGAUGAAUCGAUGUGCGGCGUUGGAGUUAAAAGCGACAUCGUUCGGUGGAUGGCGCGCCGACAAAUUGUAAUUCCGAUUCGCAGCUUCUGCAGUUGUCGGUUGAUACCCGGUUCCGUGUCGCGGGCUCGUUACGAGCGACCAAAAGGUAAUUUCUUACUCGGCGUAAUAACACGUUCCUGUGUACACACAUCGUCGGCCACUUUUCCGCAACUAUUAGCCCAAUUAGCUCGGACCAGCUUCACCGUCAACUGUUGCACGCGAGUUCUAACAACGAAUCGACGGAAUUGGACGCGGCAACUGCCUAUCGAUCAAUUAGCCAUUCCGUCGCAACUUUGCCCUUCCGUUUUUGAAAAUGUCAUUAAUCGGGAACGGAUAAUUUUUCGAUGGUUCGCAGCAAUUUCUAACUUGGAUUUUCUGGCCCGGAGACGCGCUUAAUCGUCGCGUCUGUUCCACGUUGGCGAGCUUUUAUCGAUCAAAAACGAUCUCGCCUGCGAUUCGUCGUUUAGAAAUUUCCAAGUACUUGUACAAACGUCCCUCGGGUUUUAUAUUUACAUUCUUCGUUUCCAUUGUCUUGACAUAUUUCGUAGCUUUAGCAGGAUAUUUUGGUGCGAAACUGCUCGUUCUAAGAGACUUCUUUCAAGAGAAAGCAAGAAGUUAAUUAGUUCGUGAUAAUUAAAAAAACUCGUUUCUUCCUUAAUGUUGGCUGUGGCUUGCCGAUUUCUAAAUAGUCAGUAGCUAAUUUCUAAUCUCUUAACUUCAGGUUCCUUAGAUGCGAAAUAAUUCGUUUCGUGAAACGAAAAUAUUUUUUACUUCGUAUCGUUUCGAACUUGUCGAUUCGCUAGCCUAAUUCUUUAUUUUCCAUCGAUUAAAUCGAAGAAUAAUAAAAAACAUUUGCCUCCGUCAAUUAAAACAGGUAUUCAUCUAAAUUCAUUCUCCCCCGACGCUUUAUCCAAUUUUAACUUCGAUCCUUUUAACUCCGACAAUAUCGAAAAACGAUUAAAAUCUUUCGAUGAAAAUCUUUCCAAAGCGAAGCUCUUCUUUCGUUUCCUUUUUUUCUUUUUUUUUUCUUUUUUUUUUUCUUGUUCGAAAAUGGUCUCUCGAUACUCGGCGCAGGCCGAGAGAAUUCGUCUGCCCUGUGAGAAAAUGAAUAGAAUCGAUCGAUCCGAGAAAGGGAGUAGUAAAUUCACGCGAGUGAUCGGGAAGGAUUGAUGAGAACGGUUCUUUCCAAGAGCGAGGAACAGACGACGAGCAUCGUUUUUCACGUUGGACGAAAUCGGAGACCUGCCGUUGCUUCGCAAACGCCGUGAACCUUGGCAGUGAUCACCCCUUGAUCAAUUAUCCAUCAUUCGGCGAAGGACCAAAAUUCGCGCCACAAUCCGUGCAGUUGGCGAUCGAACGUCUAUAGUAACACUUCCCAAAGCGAAAUUAUAUUUCGCGACAAGGGUGUUAAUGAACGAGCUCGGGCUUCAAGCUUAAAAUAUUCGAGCGAUCUAAGGUUCUCCAGAAGUCUGUUCUCAAAGUACAAAUCGGAAAAAUUGGAAGUCGAAAACCGUAUACUUCGAGAUUUUGCCGAACCACGAACAAUGGAGAUUCGAGUGUCGUCUCUCGAGGCAAAGGGAGAAAGAGCGAAUAGUAGGAUGAAACAUGGGUACGGUCUUGAUUCCUUGGCUGCCACUGCUGAGUGCGGAGCUUCGCACAGUUCUCUCCGCGCUCUUCACUUCUUUCUUUCCCUUCGAUUCUCUCCUUCACUAUCCGACAGCCUAUUUUUCCGCAAUUUCUGAUGGCUCUCGAGGUCCCUGUCUUACCGGUAACUCAUUCCCUCGGAUCUACUACACUCUCGAUGAAGAAUCUCUGCGCCUCUAUUUUCCAGUGUCCUCGUGGCGGCGCUAUUGCGUAAAAUCGGAGAAGAGGUAGCGAGUUCCUCGCCCGGAGCAACGUGACAACGGAAAGAAGAAACACUCGAGCAUGUCCCAGCAGUGUAAAAUUCGAACGUUACGGUCGGGCCUGACUCUUUGCUCUGCCCGUACAUUUCCUUCUGGGUGAGCAAAGUUUCAGGUGUGUCCGUGACAGUCUAUCGUCGCAGCGUGUCAUUUCUUCCUUCGGCCUAUGGAUCCAUCAUAGUCGACGAAUAACGAACAAUAACAAUCUCCAGUUGAGCCUUGGCAUUGAAAAACUGCCAUCGACUGGAAAACGUCCAAACUAUACUAAAGUCCACCGUAUCUAGUGAUAAAUCGAGUCGUAAAGUUCGUUGUAUAACGAGAAGAAUAUUUCUUGUAUUGGCUCGCGAAGCGAUAUACAAAUAUGUACAGGAACGAAGAAUCCAUUCGUGUUUUUUUAACAAAAGCUAUACCGUUUUCAUAUGCAAAAAAAAAAAGAUCUGUGAUCAACGAGUUACGUUUCAUAUGUUUAUUAUAAAUAUUACACGCGAGAGACGCGAAUCGGUUUUUAAGAUUAAAAGAGUUUGAAACGGCGAAAUUUUUGAAAGCAAUACUAUAUCGGAAUGGACCGUUUUCAAAGUAUCGCCAGAAAUUCGAUAAAGCGUAUGAAAGCUAACGUUUCCUUGAAAAUAGUUGAUUUACGAGGGUAGGCAGGGCGAAGUACGCGAUAAAUAUCUAGGUGGAAAUCAAGCAUCCUCGACAGUACUCUUACGCCUGAAAUUUGCUUUUUACCUGGCCCUCGUGCUCUCUUACUUUGAGAAAAUAAAGGUGAGCAAAGUUUCAGGUGUGUGAGUGCGUUGGAAUCAACAAGUAAACUCGAAUGGUAAGACCUUAGAAUAAAAUUCGGAAUUGCGCUGCUUCGAUGGAUCUCUUGUAGACAAAAGUUGUAAUCGUAUCAAAAGGAGAAAUUAUAUUCGCCUAAUUUUCAUUACAUCGGAAACACGAUUAAAGAAAUUAUUAUAUAUGUAUAUUAUAUUUGCGAAUCAUUCACGUACAUGUUGUGAUUCAAAUAAAAUAUCAAUGCGCUUAACCUCUAAUUGAAAAGAACUAGAAAUUUUUCCUAAUCACAAAUUUAUUUCUUUUGAAAAUUUGAGAAUUUCAAUGCUACGAUAAACGACUCUAGGAAGAAAGCUAACCUUGCGGGAUAAAAAGCUUCAUCAAUGUCGCAAACGAUACGUCUAAGAGCGAGUCUAAAAUUAGCAAUGAAAUUAGGCAGGCCUUGGAAAGACUAAUAAAUCAACUGAAGCGUUACGAUCUGGUUUCCGUCACUGUCAGGCUUCCUCCUAUAUAUGUAAAUCAAUAACCAACUGGUUUAAAGCCGAUGUGGUUGAGAGAAUCCAAUUUUACACAUUUAAACUUUUAUAUUUAAAAUUAUAUUCCAUCACGUGUAAAUAACGAGUCUUUAAUUCGUUCAUUCUUGUAUGUGAAAUCAAGCAGAUAUUGUACGAUAAAAAGUAACUGAAAGAACUAUUAAAAAAUUAAGAGAACAA